rnacentral:rRNA from 1 species
GUCUUUAAUUGCCAUCAUUCAGUUGGGCACUUUAAAGAGACUGCCGGUGUUAAACCGGAGGAAGGUGGGGAUGACGUCAAGUCCUCAUGGCCUUUAUGCCCAGGGCUACACACGUGCUACAAUGGGUGGUACAAAGAGAUGCAAUCUCGCAAGAGCAAGCAAACCUCAAAAAGCCAUCCUCAGUUCGGAUUGGAGUCUGCAACUCGACUCCAUGAAGUCGGAAUCGCUAGUAAUCGCGGAUCAGCACGCCGCGGUGAAUACGUUCCCGGGCCUU